rnacentral:rRNA from 1 species
GAUCCCUACGGGGCGCAGCAGUGAGGAAUAUUGGUCAAUGGGAGAGAUCCUGAACCAGCCAAGCCGCGUGAGGGAAGACGGCCCUAUGGGUUGUAAACCUCUUUUGUCGGAGAACAAAACCCGGGACGUGUCCCGGACUGCGUGUAUCCGAAGAAAAAGCAUCGGCUAACUCCGUGCCAGCAGCCGCGGUAAUACGGAGGAUGCGAGCGUUAUCCGGAUUUAUUGGGUUUAAAGGGAACGCAGGCGGUCUUUUAAGUCUGAUGUGAAAGCCUUCGGCUUAAUCGGAGUAGUGCAUUGGAAACUGG